CAACUACUCCCUCCGUCUGAAAAAACUUGUCCCUCAAAUUGAUGUAUCUAGGACUAACUUGAUGCUAGAUACAUCCAUUUGAGGGACAACCUUUUUCGGACGGAGGGAGUAGUAC
rfam:Triticum aestivum genome assembly, contig: Triticum_aestivum_CS42_TGACv1_scaffold_569316_7AS